UACGUAGGGGCCUAGCGUUGUCCGGAUUUAUUGGGCGUAAAGAGCUCGUAGGCGGUUUGGUGAGUCGGGUGUGAAAUCUCCACGCUCAACGUGGAGGGGCCACCCGAUACUGCCAUGACUAGAGUCCGGUAGGGGAGUGUGGAAUUCCCGGUGUAGCGGUGAAAUGCGCAGAUAUCAGGAGGAACACCGGUGGCGAAGGCGGGUCUCUGGGCAGUAACUGACGCUGAGGAGCGAAAGCGUGGGGAGCGAACAGG
rnacentral:rRNA from 1 species